rnacentral:rRNA from 1 species
UACGUAGGUGGCAAGCGUUAUCCGGAUUUACUGGGUGUAAAGGGCGUGUAGGCGGGAAAGCGAGUCAGAUGUGAAAACCACGGGCUCAACCUGUGGCCUGCAUUUGAAACUGUUUUUCUUGAGUACUGGAGAGGCAGACGGAAUUCCUCGUGUAGCGGUGAAAUGCGUAGAUAUGAGGAGGAACACCAGUGGCGAAGGCGGUCUGCUGGACAGCAACUGACGCUGAGGCGCGAAAGCGUGGGGAGCAAACAGG